rnacentral:rRNA from 1 species
AGAGUUUGAUCCUGGCUCAGAUUGAACGCUGGCGGAAUGCUUUACACAUGCAAGUCGAGCGGCAGCGCGGGGGCAACCCUGGCGGCGAGCGGCGAACGGGUGAGUAAUACAUCGGAACGUACCCUAUCGUGGGGGAUAACGAAUCGAAAGAUUCGCUAAUACCGCAUAAGACCUGAGGGUGAAAGCGGGGGAUCGCAAGACCUCGCGCGAUUGGAGCGGCCGAUGUCGGAUUAGCUACUUGGUGGGGUAAAGGCUCACCAAGGCGACGAUCCGUAGCGGGUCUGAGAGGACGGCCCGCCACACUGGAACUGAGACACGGUCCAGACUCCUACGGGAGGCAGCAGUGGGGAAUUUUGGACAAUGGGCGCAAGCCUGAUCCAGCCAUUCCGCGUGAGUGAAGAAGGCCUUCGGGUUGUAAAGCUCUUUCGGCAGGAACGAAACGGUGCGGGCUAAUAUCCCGUAUCAAUGACGGUACCUGAAGAAGAAGCACCGGCUAACUACGUGCCAGCAGCCGCGGUAAUACGUAGGGUGCGAGCGUUAAUCGGAAUUACUGGGCGUAAAGCGUGCGCAGGCGGUUUUGUAAGACAGAUGUGAAAUCCCCGGGCUUAACCUGGGAACUGCGUUUGUGACUGCAAGACUUGAGUGCGGCAGAGGGGGGUGGAAUUCCACGUGUAGCAGUGAAAUGCGUAGAGAUGUGGAGGAACACCGAUGGCGAAGGCAGCCCCCUGGGUCGACACUGACGCUCAUGCACGAAAGCGUGGGGAGCAAACAGGAUUAGAUACCCUGGUAGUCCACGCCCUAAACGAUGCCAACUAGGUGUUGGGGAAGGAGACUUCCUUAGUACCGUAGCUAACGCGUGAAGUUGGCCGCCUGGGGAGUACGGUCGCAAGAUUAAAACUCAAAGGAAUUGACGGGGACCCGCACAAGCGGUGGAUGAUGUGGAUUAAUUCGAUGCAACGCGAAAAACCUUACCUACCCUUGACAUGCCAGGAAUUCUGCUGAGAGGUGGAAGUGCCCGAAAGGGAACCUGGACACAGGUGCUGCAUGGCUGUCGUCAGCUCGUGUCGUGAGAUGUUGGGUUAAGUCCCGCAACGAGCGCAACCCUUGUCGUUAAUUGCCAUCAUUAAGUUGGGCACUUUAACGAGACUGCCGGUGACAAACCGGAGGAAGGUGGGGAUGACCUCAAGUCCUCAUGGCCCUUAUGGGUAGGGCUUCACACGUCAUACAAUGGUCGGUACAGAGGGUUGCCAACCCGCGAGGGGGAGCCAAUCCCAGAAAGCCGAUCGUAGUCCGGAUCGCAGUCUGCAACUCGACUGCGUGAAGUCGGAAUCGCUAGUAAUCGUGGAUCAGCAUGCCACGGUGAAUACGUUCCCGGGUCUUG